rnacentral:lncRNA from 1 species
GGUCUAACCAAUAAUGUAAGGCUGUCCCAUUCUACAGUCCCCCUCUAAAACAUGCAAGGAUACAUUGUAGUUUAAAAUAAGCCAUUCUUAAAUAUGUGAAUCUUACAGACAGUUUUUUGUUUUUUACUUUUAUGCAACUAGAAAGCCCAGUGAUAAAUAAUACAUAUAUUAACAUAUGGAUUUAUAUUUGCAUAUCCACUGAUGUACCACAUAGACAUAGUCCAACCGCAACCUACGGACAAUUAUAUAAGGAAAUUAGACUGGCACUGCAAGGGUAAUCAUUAAUUACACUGUAUCAGACACAUUUCAAUGUUGCUGAUGUGAACACCAUAAACAAUGAAGAUGAGGUCAGAGGACUGAUGUGUUUCUUCAAAAUGAGCUGCCGAGGACCAAGCCAAAGCUCUGUGAAGAAACUUUGCAUGAAGGUUAGACGCUUCUAAUUUGGUCCUAUACAGGUUACCAUAAUUCACAUAGCUACAUGGUUAUAGACACAGUAUGUUAUGUGUGAAAACAUCACAACAGGCUGAAGAUCACACCAUGAGUCCUAUCUUAUUCAUAAUAUGUGAGUAUUUUCACAGUAUUGAUCAAGGUAAAGCAUACAUUUGGUCUAAUUUUAAUUUUCAAUAUUCAACCUGGUUAUACCAACUGUUAUCUCUAUUUGUUUCCAAAUUCAGCUUUACUGGUUAACUUGGCAGAGACAGCAAAGCUCUUUGGAGCUAGUACCCACAUGAGAGAAGGGAAGACUGUUGAUGUGAAGUGCAGCACUACAGGCAGCAGAAAACCAUUGAGCAAGGUCUAUGUUUACCUUUGCAAGAAUGGAAUUGGAAUGAGAGUAAGAGAGCUGGAGAAAGGUGAAGAUGACACCAUUUUCACCAUCAAGGAUGUUGAACGAGAGGACUCAGGCAUCUACAGCUGUGUGUACACCAUAGAAAAACUAAAACUCAGUCAAGUGAACGCAACAGGUGUCAAUCUAGUCAUCAUUCAGGUCUACAGGGAUGGAGAAGAAGAGGUUCAUCAAGAGGUCCGUGAAGAGGCUGCACGUGAUGUGAGAAUGGUCAAUGUAAUCCGACUGAUAAGUUCAGCUGUUGUGGUUAUACUUCUUUUGACUGUAAUGUAUGCUAGUUACUAUUGUCCAAACAUAUAAUGAUAUGUUUCCUGGAUGAUGCACUGACAGAAUAACAAUCCUAUUUUCUUGGUAAUUCUUACAUGUAAUCUACAAUAGGCCUAAAUCUCCCUGUGCUCCUCCCUCAUGACACAAUUAUAAUAGAAUUUUAAAGAAUGUUCAUUGAACCUACCAGACUAGGUUGUUGUCGAUAUCAAUCAGGCCUUUGGUUUUGUGGUUGGGGUGGUGGGUAAAAUGUUUAAUAAAUUGUACAUCAUUUAAUUUAUUUUGUUAAAUGAAUGUAUGGUGGCAGGCAAGUAAU